GACAAACCAGAAAAAAAUGGGAAAGAAAAACAACUUUGAGCGGUGGAUCACUCGGCUCGUGCGUCGAGAAGAGC
rnacentral:rRNA from 1 species